rnacentral:rRNA from 1 species
GGGCCUACGGGGCGCAGCAGUGGGGAAUAUUGCGCAAUGGGGGAAACCCUGAUGCAGCGACGCCGCGUGGGUGAAGGAGCGUUUCGGCGCGUAAAGCCCUAUCGGCAGGGAAGAAGAUGACGGUACCUGACCAAGAAGCCCCGGCUAACUACGUGCCAGCAGCCGCGGUAAUACGUAGGGGGCAAGCGUUAUCCGGAUUUACUGGGGGUAAAGGGGGCGCAGACGGCAAUGCAAGCCAGGAGUGAAAGCCCCGGGCCCAACCCCGGGGCUGCUCUUGGAACUGCAUGGCUGGAGUACAGGGGGGG